GGGCGCUUUUCAAAACUAUAGUCUCUCCUAUGAACCAAAUUAAAAGUUUUGUCAUUAGGCUACAUGUGCACUGGCUACUGUAAAUAUAAGCUGUAGUGUUGGCCCAGCUAGGAAAGGUGUCUAAACUGAACAAAGCUCUGCCCCAGCUGUUAAUGGCCAAGAUACCUUCAGGUAUCCAUAUGAGAAGACUAUGGCAUUUGGAGGGGUCGCCACUGGAAGCAUGAAGGCGAAGGAUGCACUGAGGGUGCAGGGGAUCAUAACAUAAAGCGGGUUGAUGCCUAUAGACUGGGACUGAAAAAAAUAAGACAAAGUUCAGUCGAACUGCGACAAAGAGUCUAAUCUCUCAUUACGUAAGCUUGCUCGAUUCUAACUGCUCACAGGUAACAUAGAAAAGACAACAACACUCGAUCACACAGCAGUGCCUGGAUAUCUGCCUAGUCUUGGAUGAAUUAACAAGUAAAGUUACCAAAAAACCCUCCCCCCAUCCCUUAUUCUUCCUCUUUUUUUCCAGCCAGACAACAAUGGCACAUCUCCAUGGCUCUCCCAUAUGUGGCACUUCAGCCCCCUACAAAUCCCUCCAUUCACAGGCUCUCUUGCAUAGGCUAAUUCAUGAGGAUAGGACAACCUGUGCCAACUGCACAGCAUGAGGCAAGAAAGACACAGGACAAUGGCAAUAGCCCAGGGAGGAAUACUUUGAAGAGGCGACAUCUGAUCUCCAAGCCACUUCGACAGCCCAGAGACCUGAUGAGAUCAACAACAAACAAACGAAUAGGAGUUCAUGGCGCUUGAAGCCCUUGGCUAGCGCAAAGCCCCCUCCCAGCAGCAGGAUAAUGCUCCACGGCAUCUUUUUCUGCGUCACCUUCCAUGUGAGCAGAGCUGGAGUAGGGUCGCUGUCUGAUUGAGGCGCUGACAUAAGACACAAUCAUAUUCAUGAGCAAAGUUGUGGUGGUUUCGAGGGGAAGACAAAGAGCAAAGCAGCUACGAACACAGAAACUGUGGCGUCCGUCACAAACCUGCACACAGGUGACAUCUGCUCUUGUUCCGCUCUGUUGUUGAGCUGCUCCAGCACGGCUUGAACAAUUGGCACCAUCAUGGCUGUGGUGGCCGUGUUGCUGAUCCACAUAGAGAGGAAGGCGGUCACCCCCAUGAAACCCAACAUCAGUCUACGAAAGAGCAGAAGAAGCGUAAUCGAUGAUGCUAUUAUCAACAAGAAGACUCUCAGUGGCUCUUAAGC